ensembl:lncRNA
GUCUGAUUCUAGAACCUUGGCGGGCGUGGAAGUGUAUGUGUAUGAGAUAGGACUGUAGUAGGAGGGUCGUUGUGGUGGGCCCCUCUGUGUGAGAUAGGACUGUAGUAGGAGGGUCGUUGUGGUGGGCCCCUCUGUGUGAGAUAGGACUGUAAUAGGAGGGUCGUUGUGGUGGGCCCCUCUGUGUGAGAUAGGACUGUAGUAGCAGGGUCGUUGUGGUGGGCCCCUCUGUGUGAGAUAGGACUGUAGUAGCAGGGUCGUUGUGGUGGGCCCCUCUGUGUGAGAUAGGACUGUAGUCGGAGGGUCGUUGUGGUGGGCCCCUCUGUGUGAGAUAGGAGGGUUGUUGUGGUGGGCCCCUCUGUGUGAGAUAGGAGGGUCGUUGUGGUGGGCCCCUCUGUGUGAGAUAGGAGGGUCGUUGUGGUGGGCCCCUCUGUGUGAGAUAGGACUGUAGUAGCAGGGUCGUUGUGGUGGGCCCCUCUGUGUGAGAUAGGACUGUAGUCGGAGGGUCGUUGUGCUGGGCCCCACUGUGUGAGAGAGGACUGUAGUCAGAGGGUCGUUGUGGUGGGCCCCUCUAUGUGAGACAGGACUGUAGUAGCAGGGUCGUUGUGGUGGGCCCCUCUGUGUGAGAUAGGAGGGUUUUUGUGGUGGGCCCCUCUGUGUGAGAUAGGAGGGUGUUGUGGUGGGCCCCUCUGUGUGAGAUAGGAGGGUUGUUGUGGUGGGCCCCUCUGUGUGAGAUAGGAGGGUCGUUGUGGUGGGCCCCUCUGUGUGAGAUAGAAGGGUUGUUGUGGUGGGC